AGUUAACUGUUACAGACAUGUAUUGAGUAGCGACAAUAUACAACAGUUAAUAUUAAAUUAAGUAGUGAUUAAAAGUUCUCCCAAACACACUACAUUCAACAAAGGCACACUUAUUUAUGUGAUGAGCGUGCCUU
rnacentral:sRNA from 23 species